GCUGGUGAGUGAAUGGAGCCUUUCACAGCAAGCCUAAUAGGCAUGAAUGGUUGAGUCAUUGUCCUUGUUGGCUCUCUAGUUAAUCCAGUGGCAAACAAGGUUGGAGCUGCUGCGGUUGACAUGCUCUUUAUUGCCUGUGCUUUCAGCCUAAGUGCUGUGUGUAAAGGGAUUUCAUGUUCUUGCCAGUUCGUUUUUGUUUCUUGCUGGGCUUGGAAGGAAAGUAUUUAUUAUGAGAACCUGGAACAAGUUUUACAACAACGUCAGUGGUAAAGUGUUUCUACAGUAGACCCGGUCUCAAGAUUUGUAAACCUUUUCUUUCACUGACUCAUGCACUUACUCUCAUCAAAAAGAGGUGAUCUGAGACAACCAGCAUGGCUUCACCAAGGGCAGAUCGUGCUUGACCAGUCUGAUGGCCUUCUAGGAUAGAGUGAUGUCUACUUCUGUGGAGAUAUCCAAGGCUUGGCAAGAUACCUACCUGAGUGACCUACUGUAGCAUACCUGCUGUAGCAUGGGGGCUGGACUCAAUUGACUUCAGGUCAAUUCCAACCCCUGUGGUUUUGUGAUUUUGUGAAGUUUUUAGCCUGCCAAGAGAUGCAGACCUGGGAUGAACUACAGAAGAAUAGUGCAGUGAGGUUGAGUGCAUAAGAAGAGAAAGAGUUGGCAUGAAGCUCGAUAUGAAGCAUUAAAAUGCAGCUGUCUCCAGGAACUUGAGAAGGGACUUGCUGGCUCUGCGUUUUUGCUGUUUUCC
rnacentral:lncRNA from 1 species